CGCCGCCGCUGGACUCUGGUGCUCCGGAUCUCGCGUAAGUACCUCUAUCCUUUCAUCUCGCUCUAGCACAGACGCUCUCGGCCUCUCGAUCUCUCACUCUCCUCACCUUUUUCUGUAGAUGUAGACGAGAUCCGUCGAGGAACCAGGGCCGGGGGGCUAGAUCCGUGCUUCAUCGACCUCGCCGGUGUACCUGGUGCUCCGGCUACAAAGCUGUUGAGGAACCAGGUAACUGGCGAGUGACGAUGGCCGGAUCUGACGACGAGACGGUGGAGCUCGGUGUUACCGAGAACGAGGAGCGGCGAUUGUGCGGGAUGGCCGGAGAUGAUGACGAGGAUGACUUGCGCGAGGACCGUGAUGCCUUGUUCGGCCCUGGUGCUGAUGAUCCCAUCAACGUCGACGAUGAUGGCCCUGCUGUACCUGCCUGCGGCGGUGCACCUCCCCCAGACGGUAACAGCGCCAAGCGCUCACGUCCCUCUACCUCUCCUGUUUGGGAUGAUUUCGAGAAGCUGUUCAAAACCACAGCUGAUGGUAAGACCGUCAGGUAUGGAGCUAGGUGCCUACAUUGCUCUAAGAUCUACUCUGGUUUUUCUAGUGGUGGCACUGGUCAUCUUUCACGCCACAUUGCCUCUUGUGUUAAGAGGCGUGAAAAAACUCGCAUGUCUCAGUCUCAAAUCUCUUUUAAUCCUGAUGGUAGUAUGCGUA